GACGAACGCUGGCGGCGUGCUUAACACAUGCAAGUCGAACGGAAAGGCCCUGCUUUUGUGGGGUGCUCGAGUGGCGAACGGGUGAGUAACACGUGAGUAACCUGCCCUUGACUUUGGGAUAACUUCAGGAAACUGGGGCUAAUACCGGAUAGGAGCUCCUGCUGCAUGGUGGGGGUUGGAAAGUUUCGGCGGUUGGGGAUGGACUCGCGGCUUAUCAGCUUGUUGGUGGGGUAGUGGCUUACCAAGGCUUUGACGGGUAGCCGGCCUGAGAGGGUGACCGGCCACAUUGGGAAUGAGAGACGGCCCAGACUCCUACGGGAGGGAGGAGGGGGGAAAAAUGCAAAAUGGGCGGAAGCCUGAUGCAGCAAAGCCGCGGGCGGGAUGAAGGCCUUCGGGGUGGAAAACGCUUUCGCCUGUGACGAAGGGGGAGUGAAGGGAAUGGGGAAAGAAGCAACGGGUAAAUAAGUG
rnacentral:rRNA from 1 species